GACAUAGUGGCGCGUCUCUGCUUUAAUUGCUGUUUUUUUGUAUAAAUGUCAACCAAAGAAGACAACUGGCAUCAAAUCGUGACAACCGCGGACGAAGACAACUUCAUUAGUCAACAUGAAAGUUUUUAUCUGUAUCCUGGCUCUAGCCGCAAUCGCCUUUGCCGGCGAGCAGCCAAGAGAGAAACGCGGGAUCUACGGCGAGCCCGGUGGUCUCCUCUCCCCCGCCCCCGCACUGCACGCCGCACCCCUCGCCCAAGCGCACACCUUGCCAGCCAGUCUGCUUGCCCCACAUUCUAUCCACCAACACCUGCACCCAGCACCAGUUCUAAGCCCCAGUGUCCACGCUCCAGUCCUCAGCUCAAGCCUGCACCACGCCCCACUAUUGAGCAGUUCAAGCCUUCACGCCGCUCCUUUGUUGAGCUCUAGUUUUCAUUCUGCCCCGUUAUUGAGCUCAAAUCUUCAUCAAGCGCCCUUAAUCUCAAGCUAUACGCCUGCUGUGAGCUCAAUCCACGCUCCAUUACUCAGUUCCAGCUUUUCUCACGCCCCAGUAUUGAGCUCAAGCCUCAGCCAUGCUCCUCUUCUAAGCUCCGGUUUACACCACGCCCCCGUACUAAGCUCUGGCCUCUACCACGCCCCUGUCCUGAGCUCCGUACACCAUCUCGCACCCCUAACCCAUUCCCAUGUGCAUGUGGCCCCCGUGGUGCGCGCUCCCCUGGUUCGUUACUCUGCGCCGAGGUACGCCUCCGGUUGGUAAAUCUGUGAUCCCCCUAAUUAGACCAAAUAUAUGUACCUUAGUGAAAUUGUUA